GAGGUUGUAAAAAAGAAAGGUUAUUAGGACAUGGGGAUAGUGGACCUGUUUAAAAUAGUUCUUUUGGCUGAUUCCAAACUUCAUUAUCAAGAUAUCAACAGCUCAACCUGCUAGCAAACCACAAAACAUGGAUCAGUAGAUUCAGUCCAGUUCAAUUGGCAGACAUCACACACGAACCAGCCAUGUCAGCUCGAUCUGAGUAAACUUCCAGGCUCCAUCUGAUUGGCUCCAGUCCACAGAAGCUGCAAGAAGCUGCAGGAAUAUCACAAGAAGGUCUUUGGAGAGUAACUCUCUAUGAAGUCACAACAAGAGAAUAUCAGAAACUCCAUGUAAGGCAAACCAAUAAGUGAGAAUCAUCUGUGAAUUCUAGUGUGCUGGAGCAAGGCAAACCACUGCCAGAGCCUCCUCAUACUGUCUCUGGGUUCAUAUUCAUGUUCUUUCCAAGCAUCAUGUGUCCUCUCACCUGUAUCAGCUUCACAAAACAGUUAUGAUGUAAUCGAGUCUCCAGAAAUUUCCAGUUCAAGAGGGAUUUUCUCUUUGGGCUUGGAGGAACCCAGGCACAGCAUGCUGAUCUGGUGAUCUCUGUCUGAGCAAGCUUUCCAGUGCUUGCUUUCUCAUAUCCCCGACGUCUAAACAGGAGAGGGGGCAGCCAGACCUGCUGUACAGACUGCUUGCACUGCAGCCUGCCUGAGACUGGGACAUAGAUGGCUCCGAAGUGCAGAUGCUGCAGGUCCUUCUACAGUUAACUCCUCCCUGCAAAAAAAAAAAAAAGUUGGCGAGUGCUGCAGUGUCCUGAAUCGAACACCAGAGGGAGGCAAAGGCACAAGAAGUUCCAGUUCAGAAGGAUCCUGUUGCAGCGUCGUUCUUCCUGGCCAGUCGAGUGCACGCAAGAAGAGCAAAUCCUAGAUACUGCUCUAGGCAAUACACACCUUCUCCUGGACUGGAUAACGGUUGUGGGAAAUACUAAAAUGAACAAGUUCCUGUGCUUCACCCCACUACUCUGCCCUGUGGUCUCCCAACCAGUUCUUAUCUCAUGGAGACUCUGACUCAGAGCUCCAAAAGCUCUCCACCCAGCUCAUUAAACCUGUGCUUUGCCUCUCUAUCUUUCUCUCAUGAACCCAGACGAGCUGACCUGUGAAGGAAAACACAAUACAAAGUUAGUUCAGAAACUACAGUAACUCAAUUGCUGGGCACAACAACUAAAAUCCUAAUCUUGUAAGCCUUAUUAAAUCUAAAUCCUCCAGUGGCGAAUCCUGGCAGAUCCGCCAUUGAAACAGGGAGACACUAGCAGCUACUUCUUGUCUUCACUCUAUCUCCAUCCAAAAGGAUGACACCCCCCUUCCUCUCUUCCCCUACCUAACCUGGAAGUCCCUUCUACUUGCCCAGUGAUUGAUUGGCUCCUUUAUCCAUUAGGGGAUGGUUUACAAGAAGUUACCUGAGUACUUGACUCACUCCUCAUCUGCAACCCCUCCCAAGAAAGCGAAAUUAACAUCUAAAUUCAAGCAGCACUAGUCCCAUCCAGAACAGGUAACCACCGCCUAGAGAUAAGCAUUUCCAUCUUUUGACCUU
rnacentral:lncRNA from 1 species